rnacentral:rRNA from 1 species
GACGAACGCUGGCGGCGUGCCUAACACAUGCAAGUCGAGCGAGUGAAUCUCCUUCGGGAGUGAAGCUAGCGGCGGACGGGUGAGUAACACGUGGGCAACCUGCCUCAUAGAGGGGAAUAGCCUUCCGAAAGGAAGAUUAAUACCGCAUAAGAUUGCAGCUUCGCAUGAAGUAGCAAUUAAAGGAGCAAUCCGCUAUGAGAUGGGCCCGCGGCGCAUUAGCUAGUUGGUGAGGUAACGGCUCACCAAGGCGACGAGGCGUAGCCGACCUGAGAGGGUGAUCGGCCACAUUGGGACUGAGACACGGCCCAGACUCCUACGGGAGGCAGCAGUGGGGAAUAUUGCACAAUGGGGGAAACCCUGAUGCAGCAACGCCGCGUGAGUGAUGACGGCCUUCGGGUUGUAAAGCUCUGUCUUCAGGGACGAUAAUGACGGUACCUGAGGAGGAAGCCACGGCUAACUACGUGCCAGCCGCCGCCGUAACAC